GUGCCAGCAGCCGCGGUAAUACGUAGGGUGCAAGCGUUGUCCGGAAUUAUUGGGCGUAAAGAGCUCGUAGGCGGUUUGUCACGUCGGCUGUGAAAUCCCGAGGCUCAACCUCGGGUCUGCAGUCGAUACGGGCAGACUAGAGUACUGCAGGGGAGACUGGAAUUCCUGGUGUAGCGGUGGAAUGCGCAGAUAUCAGGAGGAACACCGGUGGCGAAGGCGGGUCUCUGGGCAGUAACUGACGCUGAGGAGCGAAAGCGUGGGGAGCGAACAGGAUUAGAUACCCUGGUAGUCCACGCCGUAAACGGUGGGCGCUAGGUGUGGGGACCAUUCCACGGUCUCUGUGCCGCAGCUAACGCAUUAAGCGCCCCGCCUGGGGAGUACGGCCGCAAGGCUAAAACUCAAAGGAAUUGACGGGGGCCCGCACAAGCGGCGGAGCAUGUGGCUUAAUUCGAUGCAACGCGAAGAACCUUACCUGGGCUUGACAUGUUCGGAAAACUCGUAGAGAUACGGGGUCCGCAAGGGCCGAUCACAGGUGGUGCAUGGUUGUCGUCAGCUCGUGUCGUGAGAUGUUGGGUUAAGUCCCGCAACGAGCGCAACCCUCGUUCUAUGUUGCCAGCGCGUAAUGGCGGGGACUCAUAGGAGACUGCCGGGGUCAACUCGGAGGAAGGUGGGGAUGACGUCAAAUCAUCAUGCCCCUUAAGUCCAGGGCUGCACACAUGCUACAAUGGCCGGUACAAAGGGCUGCGAUACCGCGUGGUGGAGCGAAUCCCAUAAAGCCGGUCUCAGUUCGGAUUGGGGUCUGCAACUCGACCCCAUGAAGUCGGAGUCGCUAGUAAUCGCAGAUCAGCAACGCUGCGGUGAAUACGUUCCCGGGCCUUGCACACACCGCCCGUC
rnacentral:rRNA from 1 species